CCUGAAAAUAAACCUUUUAAAAUAUAGGUUGAAGAUAUUGAGAAUAAGAUAGAAUGUUUGAGAUUUACCAAUUUAAGUUUAAUAUUAUAUUUUCCUAGGGAUCAAAUAAUAGUAUUGCAUAUAAAUAUUUAAGGACAUUAUAGGAAAUGAUAUACAUUAGUGCUUGUUGUAGAAGAUGUUAAAAAUGUAGUUUAAUUUGUAUAUUUAUUUUUAAUAUUAAUAACCUUUGGGUCAAUAGAAGUAAGAAAGCUAUUAAAAUUAAAUUGACAUCAGCCAAUUUCAUAAGACAGUUUUCAACAUAGUAACGGAGUUAAAUAAGUGUAGGAUCUACAAAAAUACAAACCCAUUCGUUGUUGGGAAGUCUGUUAAAAAAUCUAGCUUUGGUGGUAACAAACGUCUAGUAAGUAUAGAUUGUACGUACCUCCAACUUCGGUAAUAAUCCAAUCUGGCAUUGCGAGGCUCACAAUAGCAAAAACAUCUGCUGCCAUAAACAGCGUACCUGAUAUUACUGUUAACUUAUCCAUGGCGAAAAUACUUUCUCAAAUAUUGUUCCUAUUCACUGUUUCAAACCAGAUGUUAAUGUAGAUAUCGAUU
rnacentral:lncRNA from 1 species